CGGAAGGUCCGGCGUUAUCCGGAUUAUUGGUUAAGGGAGCGUAGGCCGGAGAUUAAGCGUGUUGUGAAUGUAGAUGCUCAACAUCUGCACUGCAGCGCGAACUGGUUCCUUGAGUACGCAUAAAGUGGGCGGAAUUCGUAGUGUAGCGGUGAAAUGCUUAGAUAUCACGAAGAACUCCGAUUGCGAAGGCAGCUCACUGGGGCGCAACUGACGCUGAAGCUCGAAAGCGCGGGUAUCGAACAGGAUU
rnacentral:rRNA from 1 species